ACGGGAGGCAGCAGUAAGGAAUAUUGGUCAAUGGAGGCAACUCUGAACCAGCCAUGCCGCGUGCAGGAAGACGGCCCUACGGGUUGUAAACUGCUUUUGUACCGGAAUAAACCUUUUCACGUGUGAGAAGCUGAAUGUACGGUAAGAAUAAGGAUCGGCUAACUCCGUGCCAGCAGCCGCGGUAAUACGGAGGAUCCAAGCGUUAUCCGGAUUUAUUGGGUUUAAAGGGUGCGUAGGCGGCUUAUUAAGUCAGGGGUGAAAGGCGGUAGCUUAACUAUCGGAGUGCCUUUGAUACUGAUGAGCUUGAAUGCAGCUGAGGUAGGCGGAAUGUGACAAGUAGCGGUGAAAUGCAUAGAUAUGUCACAGAACACCGAUUGCGAAGGCAGCUUACUAAAGUGCGAUUGACGCUGAGGCACGAAAGCGUGGGGAUCAAACAGGAUUAGAUACCCUGGUAGUCCACGCCCUAAACGAUGAAUACUCGAUGU
rnacentral:rRNA from 1 species